rnacentral:rRNA from 1 species
GACGAACGCUGGCGGCGUGCCUAAUACAUGCAAGUAGAACGCUGAAGGAGGAGCUUGCUCUUCUGGAUGAGUUGCGAACGGGUGAGUAACGCGUAGGUAACCUGCCUGGUAGCGGGGGAUAACUAUUGGAAACGAUAGCUAAUACCGCAUAACAGUAGAUGUUGCAUGACAUUUACUUAAAAGGUGCAAUUGCAUCACUACCAGAUGGACCUGCGUUGUAUUAGCUAGUUGGUGGGGUAACGGCUCACCAAGGCGACGAUACAUAGCCGACCUGAGAGGGUGAUAGGCCACACUGGGACUGAGACACGGCCCAGACUCCUACGGGAGGCAGCAGUAGGGAAUCUUCGGCAAUGGACGGAAGUCUGACCGAGCAACGCCGCGUGAGUGAAGAAGGUUUUCGGAUCGUAAAGCUCUGUUGUAAGAGAAGAACGAGUGUGAGAGUGGAAAGUUCACACUGUGACGGUAUCUUACCAGAAAGGGACGGCUAACUACGUG